rnacentral:rRNA from 1 species
UCCCAGACUCCUACGGGAGGCAGCAGUGGGGGAUAUUGCACAAUGGGGGAAACCCUGAUGCAGCGACGCCGCGUGGGUGAAGAAGCGCCUCGGCGCGUAAAGCUCUAUCAGCAGGGAAGAAGAUGACGGUACCUGACUAAGAAGCCCCGGCUAACUACGUGCCAGCAGCCGCGGUAAUACGUAGGGGGCAAGCGUUAUCCGGAUUUACUGGGUGUAAAGGGAGCGUAGACGGCGAUGCAAGCCAGAUGUGAAAGCCCGGGGCUCAACCCCGGGACUGCAUUUGGAACUGUGUGGCUGGAGUGUCGGAGAGGCAGGCGGAAUUCCUAGUGUAGCGGUGAAAUGCGUAGAUAUCAGGAGGAACACCGGUGGCGAAGGCGGCCUGCUGGACUGCAACUGACGUUGAGGCCCGAAAGCGUGGGGAGCAAACAGGAUUAGAUACCCUGGUACAC